rnacentral:tRNA from 1 species
GAUGUAGUGGCUUAGUGGUGGGGUGCUUGCCUGACAUGCAUGAGGGUCUGGGUUCCACCCCCAGUUGCUCA